AAAAAAGGUAAGCUACUAAGAGCGAAUGGUGGAUGCCUUGACUGGUAAAGGCGAUGAAGGACGUACUAGACUGCGAUAAGCUACGGGGAGCUGUCAAGAAGCUUUGAUCCGUAGAUUUCCGAAUGGGGCAACCCAAUGUAUAGAGAUAUACAUUACCUAUAUAGGAGCGAACGAGGGGAAUUGAAACAUCUUAGUACCCUCAGGAAAAGAAAUCAAUAGAGAUUGCGUCAGUAGCGGCGAGCGAAAGCGCAAGAGGGCAAACCCAGUGCUUGCACUGGGGGUUGUAGGACUGCAAUGUGCAAGAGGUAAGUUUAGCAGAACAUUCUGGAAAGUAUAACCAUAGAGGGUGAUAGUCCCGUAUGCGAAAAACAAACCUUAGCUAGCAGUAUCCUGAGUAGGGCGGGACACGAGGAAUCCUGUCUGAAUCCGGGUCGACCACGAUCCAACCCUAAAUACUAAUACCAGAUCGAUAGUGCACAAGUACCGUGAGGGAAAGGUGAAAAGAACUGAGGUGAUCAGAGUGAAAUAGAACCUGAAACCAUUUGCUUACAAUCAUUCAGAGCCCUAUGUAGCAAUACAGGGUGAUGGACUGCCUUUUGCAUAAUGAGCCUGCGAGUUGUGGUGUCUGGCAAGGUUAAGCAAACGCGAAGCCGUAGCGAAAGCGAGUCUGAAUAGGGCACUUAGUCAGAUGCUGCAGACCCGAAACGAAGUGAUCUAUCCAUGAGCAAGUUGAAGCUAGUGUAAGAACUAGUGGAGGACUGAACCCAUAGGCGUUGAAAAGCCCCGGGAUGACUUGUGGAUAGGGGUGAAAGGCCAAUCAAACUUCGUGAUAGCUGGUUCUCUCCGAAAUAUAUUUAGGUAUAGCGUUGUGUCGUAAUAUAAGGGGGUAGAGCACUGAAUGGGCUAGGGCAUACACCAAUGUACCAAACCCUAUCAAACUCCGAAUACCUUAUAUGUAAUCACAGCAGUC
rnacentral:rRNA from 1 species